UACGUAGGGUGCAAGCGUUAAUCGGAAUUACUGGGCGUAAAGCGUGCGCAGGCGGUUGUGCAAGUCAGGUGUGAAAUCCCCGGGCUUAACCUGGGAAUUGCAUUUGUGACUGCACGGCUAGAGUGUGUCAGAGGGGGGUAGAAUUCCACGUGUAGCAGUGAAAUGCGUAGAUAUGUGGAGGAAUACCGAUGGCGAAGGCAGCCCCCUGGGAUAACACUGACGCUCAUGCACGAAAGCGUGGGGAGCAAACAGG
rnacentral:rRNA from 1 species